AGUGAACGCUGGCGGUAGGCCUAACACAUGCAAGUCGAACGGCAGCACAGUAAGAGCUUGCUCUUACGGGUGGCGAGUGGCGGACAGGUGAGGAAUACAUCGGAAUCUACUUUUUCGUGGGGGAUAACGUAGGGAAACUUACGCUAAUACCGCAUACGACCUACGGGUGAAAGCAGGGGAUCUUCGGACCUUGCGCGAUUGAAUGAGCCGAUGUCGGAUUAGCUAGUUGGCGGGGUAAAGGCCCACCAAGGCGACGAUCCGUAGCUGGUCUGAGAGGAUGAUCAGCCACACUGGAACUGAGACACGGCCCAGACUCCUACGGGAGGCAGCAGUGGGGAAUAUUGGACAAUGGGCGCAAGCCUGAUCCAGCCAUACCGCGUGGGUGAAGAAGGCCUUCGGGUUGUAAAGCCCUUUUGUUGGGAAAGAAAAGCAGCAGGUUAAUACCCCGCUGUUCUGACGGUACCCAAAGAAUAAGCACCGGCUAACUUCGU
rnacentral:rRNA from 1 species